CGGGAACGGGUGAGUAACGCGUGGGGAACCUGCCUACAAAGAGGGGACAACAGUUGGAAACGACUGCUAAUACCGCAUAAGCCCACGGCUCGGCAUCGAGCAGAGGGAAAAGGAGCAAUCCGCUUUGAGAUGGCCUCGCGUCCGAUUAGCUAGUUGGUGAGGUAACGGCCCACCAAGGCGACGAUCGGUAGCCGGACUGGGAGGUUGAACGGCCACAUUGGGACUGAGACACGGCCCAG
rnacentral:rRNA from 1 species